GACGAACGCUGGCGGCGUGCUUAACACAUGCAAGUCGAACGAAGUGGCGAACGGGUGAGUAACGCGUAAUCAACCUGCCCUUCAGAGGGGUACAACAGUUGGAAACGACUGCUAAUACCGCAUACUGAAGGAGGGAUUGUCGGCUGCUAAGCUCGUGGGAGGGGUAAUGGCCCACAAAGGAGAUUGUCGGUAGCCGGUCUGAGAGGAGGAACGGCCAACUGGGGACUGGGCCACGGCCCAGACUCCUACGGGAGGCAGCAGGGGGGAAUCUUCCGCAAUGGACGAAAGUCUGACGGAGCAAUGCCGCGUGAGUGAUGACGGCCUUCGGGUUGUAAAGCUCUGUUAAUCGGGACGCGGUACCGGAAUAGAAAGCCACGGCUAACUACGUGCCAGCAGCCGCGGUAAUAC
rnacentral:rRNA from 1 species